ACUAUAACAUGGAUUUAUCGUAAAAUUCAACGCAGCUUUUAGAAUUAGGAUGGAUAAAUGAGAAGCAAAGCUAAGUUUGCAUGAGUUACAAAGAUUUUUCGCAAAUGAAGACCUGGCUAAGAAAUUAGCCAUUGACGGAAAAGAAGAAUGCUGCAACCCUACAAGAACUAAAUAAAUUACCUUAUGGAAAAAUAAGAAGACCAGAAUAUUACGGAUGGUUUUAUGCAAAAGAAAAAUGCAACCUUAAUAGAGCGGGAAAAUCGAAAGAAAUUUUAUUGAUGCCUUUAACAGUUCGGCUAUUGGAAGAAGCACACGCUACGAAAAUAUUGCAGAAAACCAAAUGGAAAAUCCAACGCGAAGAUGGUUAAAGAGUAAUUCUUCUAUCCAUUAACGUUUCUAGAUGUUCGAACCUGGGGAAAAAGGGACCAAAUGACGAGGAUGUUUGAAAAAUCCUGCCGCCUUUGAAACAAUGCCCUAGAGGGAAAAGAAGCAACCAACUGAAUCUACUAGAAUGUAAUUUGACUUAGUAAAUGUAAAUCCCAUUUGUAAAAUCCUACUUUACAGGAAAACUGUCCUCUCGACUUCCGUAUCAAGUUUUCGAAUUUGGAAGAUGCCCUACAUUUAUGCACUGAAUAUUGCUUCAAAAAGCCACUUAAAAUCCGCUGCUUUUACGCUCGAUAGGAAAGGAAGACUUGGACCUUUAAAGACAGAUACAAGACAGAAGACAAAGUAACAUGAACCUUCAGAAGAAGUUAACCCAGUACUUAAAUGUAAAUCCUGAAAGAAGCAAAAAACAUGUUGAAAACGAAAAACAUGAGAAGAAUAUAGACUACUACCGGAAAACGUACUUCUCAACGCCUUGUUUAAGCAAAUGAACCUGAACAAACAUUCUUCAAGUGUCCUUAAUGAUUUCUACUCAACGACACAGAGUUCCUCAUUUUCUUUGCCUUGACUAGGAACAUUUGGACUCUAGAACCUUAAGACUAGUAAAACUGUCCUGGCCUUUGCCAGCAGCAUCAGCACCUAAGUAGAAGCUCACCUGCAUGUGUCCCAUAAUCAUACAACUCCAGCAACAGGAACGUGUAGAA